ensembl:lncRNA
GCCAGAAAAGCUCCGCCGGAGGUGUGAGUUGAAGAUACCUAGGACGGGGCCUCCUCCAGACGUUCCCAGUUCACCCGCACUACUCGUUUGGGCUUACCAGGUCUAUCCGGAAAUUUCCCCCAUUCCCUGAUCCAACUCACAACCAGAUGGUGGUCGGUUGACAGUUCCGCCCCUCUCUUUACCCGAGUGUCCAAAACAUGCGGCCUCAGAUCAGAUGACACGAUCACGAAAUCGAUAAUCGAUCUUCGGCCUAGGGUACUCUGGUACCAGGUACACUUAUGAGCACCCUUAUGUUCGAACAUGGUGUUUGUUAUGGAUAAUCCAUGACUAGCACAGAAGUCCAAUAACAAACCGCCAUCUCUUAACUUUUUGAAUUCUGGCGUGCCUGCACACGGCACGGAACGCGCCGUGUGGAUGCAUUUCAUUUUCUUUGUGCCCAAGUCAUGUGUUAGUGGCGCCGACAGAAAAUUGAUACAUUUGCUUCAGAAAACUUUGUUUGUGUGUGUAUAUGCAAACUCGAGUUUGCCUGUCCACCAACCGAGUUCAUUUGUAACGAGGAGUACUCGAGUAAUCGAUUCCUCACGCCCAUCCCUAAUAUUUAUAUUAGGGUUAAAAGUUGGGGUUCCACCAAUGGUAGAACUAUCGGAGUGAAGAUACGGACUGUGGUUCACAUUGACAACAUAUUAGAUGAUAUCAUGAUACUAUUAACAGAUAUUCUAGUAAUUUUUAUUAGAAUAUAGGUGGAUUAACUUUACUUAUCAUUAGUAGAUUUCUGCAUAAGGUCGAGUGGGUGGUGACUAUUCUACGAAUGUGUGGGUCCAGUACCUAUUGGUCAGGAGUCUAUGACGCAGGGGUUUAGGUGUGAAUGUCUGCAGAUGGGCGUCUAUAAUGUAUAAAUAUACGGAGCCGAUGGUAUGGAUGGGUACAACCUCUGAUCCCGAACGUCAGACACGCUAUUCUAAGAUGGUAAACGCGUCAGCAGCUGGAAGAAAAAAAAAAAAAGAAACAGCGACCCGUCCUGCAAUAAUAUGCCGACUGACUGUAAGUAUUCAUAUGGGUGUAUUAUAUUAUGAUUAUAUUAUGACUAUGUCUACGUGUAUCAGCUGUUUAUAUCUGACUGAAGCAGUGAUUACUCCACAGCGAUUCAUGGGGACCGGCGGUGAGAGUGGGAAACAACAGACGGAAACACGUGCAAGUUCGCAUGAUAUUCGGCUCAACAAUCAAAGAGCGAUUCUAGCCGACCGGACCAAUGUGGGAGCAUGCGGUAGUUUUGUGCCUAUCGGGGCUAGUGUGAAACAGCGAACUCCUGGAGCAAGUCGUCUAUCGAAGAAAGAAAAAAAGACCGGGGGUAGGGGGGGCUCUACCCUGCUCCCCGCUGGCCAUAGAUCAGCCGCAAAUUCCUUAUAAAAAGGCUCGCAAGGACGCCGCACAUAGUGUUUUAACUCCAGAGAAUUUUAACCUGGUUAUCCAGGCAGUCAUAAACCCUCAAAUCGCGCAUCAAGGGGCUGUAUGGUCUGAGUCCAAACAACAAGUGAUCGGGGCGGUGGAUGUGCAUGUGUCUGCGUCGCCUACAGAGACCGUCACAGUGCAACCGGAUGGGACCAUACAACACGCCCCUGGAGACCCCCAGUGUGCGCCACUACCAGUGCUGACCGUCGAUGAUUUGGCGGGUCUUGACGACCUCUCGUCGUGGACCUCAUCGCUGUUGGACCAUAUCGACUUCACUCCAGCUCAGUGGAUCGACUCUCCAGCUACGUUCGUAGGGGCUACCACCAGUGCAGAGCCUGUACAACACCACCAGCCUGCAGACCCUGCAUCUGGAUCCCUACACGCCAUUCAAGACCCUAGCCCCGACCCCCCGUGCAUUGUGAGUCCCACCGCUCAUGAGGCAGCGGCGACGCUGCUACCAGUCGGCACAGCGGUUGUUGUUGAUGAACACAUUGUGGGUGGGCGAUGUGUUAACUGUUGUAAAGAAUAUGCUGAUAAAUUAGCCUUGGUAACUGCGGCGGUGGAUGUAAACUCCUUAACCAUUGGUCGUCAGUGUAAACUGGGUGCGUUGGCUGGUAAACGUGUUGACCGUAGAUUUCAGGAUUUCGAAGAGCAGACGAAGCAGUCCUUCAUAGCCAUCAGGGCUGAGAUAGCGCGUGAUCGUAUGACUGUCGAAUCCCCAAACACUGAGACAGUGCGUAAUGGUCUUGCUAUCGACGCCCUUCAGCGUAAGCAAUUGGAUGUGCGUGUCAACACGCAGGGCAUAGAGAGAAUUAACGCGCAAGAGGGGUUAAGAUCUGCUAAAACCGCUCGAAAAUUCUGGUUAAUUGAAUCUGUGGGGGAGGCUAACGUCAAGGCCUAUCGGGCAAUGAGUACCGAGAUGUCUGUGAUGAAUGACUAACUAGCAAAGCUUACGGUGAAUGCUAGUAUUUGAUUUGUGUUUUGUUUUUUUAAUGUUUUUUUCUUUUAUUUCGUGGAGAGGGUAUCUUUUGUUUUAAACGGCAUGUAAUAAAACUUUUUUUCUUUUAAUACCUGACUAAUUAACG